rnacentral:rRNA from 1 species
UUGCCUACGGGACGCAGCAGUGAGGAAUAUUGGUCAAUGGGCGGAAGCCUGAACCAGCCAAGUCGCGUGAGGGAAUAAGGCCCUACGGGUCGUAAACCUCUUUUGCCGGGGAGCAAGGGCGGGGACGUGUCCCGGCCCGGAGAGUACCCGGGGAAAAAGCAUCGGCUAACUCCGUGCCAGCAGCCGCGGUAAUACGGAGGAUGCGAGCGUUAUCCGGAUUUAUUGGGUUUAAAGGGUGCGUAGGCGGGCUUUUAUGUCAGCGGUAAAAAUUCGGGGCUCAACCCUGUCCGGCCGUUGAAACUGGG